rnacentral:rRNA from 1 species
UGGGGAAUUUUCCGCAAUGGGCGCAAGCCUGACGGAGCAAUACCGCGUGAGGGAGGAAGGCUCUUGGGUCGUAAACCUCUUUUCUCAGGGAAGAACACAAUGACGGUACCUGAGGAAUCAGCAUCGGCUAACUCCGUGCCAGCAGCCGCGGUAAUACGGAGGAUGCAAGCGUUAUCCGGAAUGAUUGGGCGUAAAGCGUCCGUAGGUGGUUUUGUAAGUCCGUGGUUAAAGCGUGGGGCUCAACCCCAUAAGGGCCAUGGAAACUACAUAACUAGAGUCAAGUAGGGGUAGAGGGAAUUCCCAGUGUAGCGGUGAAAUGCGUAGAGAUUGGGAAGAACACCGGUGGCGAAAGCGCUCUACUGGACUUAAACUGACACUGAGGGACGAAAGCUAGGGGAGCGAAAGGGAUUAGAUACCCCUGUAGUC